ACUGGCGCAGACAGGUGUUUAGUACCACCUUGUAGAAUCAUUAGAUUUUAUAAGCUACCUACAAUAAUAUAUACCUUUAGUGUCUAAAUUGUUAUUGUUGCUUUGUUGUUGUAGCAACGCUAGAUGGUAAUAGAAUAUCAUUAGAAUGUGGCCACUUCAGCCAAGAUUACAUCGAUGCUCUAAAAGGAUCGUGACAUGCCGUUUGAUCUUCUCCCAACGUUGCAUCCAAAGUCCAAACAUUGGACAAUCUGUGCGCGUGUCUCACGCAAGUGGGAGUAUCGUGGUGGCACCGACGAUGGACCAAUAGCCCACAUUGACCUUGUUCUUACAGAUGAACAGGGUAAUGCAAUAUAUGUUGAAAUACCAAACUCAGAAAUAGAAAGGAAAGAUCCUUUGCUCCAAGAAGGUGGUAUCUACGUUAUGAGCCGCUUCAAAGUCUCAAAUUCCAAAACCCUGUACAGGCCAGUUGAUGCACCAUAUAUGAUUGAAUUUACUUGCUACACUAAGAUAACUCCAGCGAGAGAUCCACCAGAAACAUUCCCAAGAUAUGUCUACAAACUCACAUCUUUUCUUGAACUACCUCAUUAUACUGGUGAAAACAAGAAUUUCCUGGGUUUGUAUCAUUGCUAACCAUUAUUUACUAACUCUAUAUAAUCAUUCCUUUUAAAGUUCUUCAAAUAACUGCAUGUUGCAUAUUGCAAAUGUGAUUGGCAUCGUCACUGAAGUUUCAGACACAUCUCUCGUACAACUUGCAAAUCGGUCAACUCCUACUGUAAGCAGAGACAUCAUGCUUAAAGACCUAAACAAUGUUGAGGUUAAACUGACACUGUGGGGACAGCGAGCCACGCAGUUUACCAUUGAUGAAAUUUAUAAUGAACAACAAGCUACACCGAUUGUAACUCUUGUUGUUGGCAAUCUCAUGAAAACU